AACAUACAAAGUCAUUAUCAAUGUGUUUUUUGUUUUAAAUCUGAAAAUAUGUAGGAUAUUACGAUUCACGAUCCGAUCCUACGAUCUACGAUCUCACCUACCUUCAACGAUCUUACAUAGGAUCUCGAUUUUGACAACCUUGGUUGAAAGGUAGAAACUGCUUCUCCAAGGCUUUUUCCAUCUUGGGCCAUUCUUGAAUCUUUCUCUUUCCCAUCCUUACUCUCUACAUCUGGAAUUGCAAGCUCUUCCUUUCAACUUAAUUGCCACUAACUUUACCCUCUUGUGGUUAGAAAUCUCAUGGUAUUCUAAGAUCCUUUCCACUUGAUUAAGCCAGUCAACAAAAUCUUCCGCUAUUAAGCUGCUAUUGAAUUAUGGAAACUCAAUUUUGAGAUUGUCUUCCCAUUUCUGUUCAAUGUUAGGAAUCUGGUGGUUCCUAAUGGGGAUGGAUAGGAAUUAUAGGGGGAUUGAUGGGAAUUGUAGGGAAAUUGACUUAAUUCGAGGUAGUCACCCUUCGUAGAGAAAGAGAGAGAUUAAGAGAGAGAGAGAGAGACACACACUAAUGCACUAAGACUUUGGUUUAUUCUUCAAUUGAUAUAUAAUGUUGAAUUACAAUUAUGUAUUUAUAGGAAAUUAGCUUUAAUGUCAUUAGCCCACAUGGCUUAAGAUAAUUGGGUAGUUAAUUCAACAUGUGCUUUAUGAAUUAAGCCAUCUGUUAAAUGAGCUACAUGUGUUGAAAUCCUAGCUAACUCAUCUAAUUUCAACCAACUAGCUAACUACCUAACGAAAGGGAUUACAACAAUUAUUUCAUAUUCCUAUCAUUUCCCUCUCCUUGAAAACACCUUGCCCACAAUGUAUUGUUGUGAAAUAACACCUUCAUUAGGGGAAACCGGUCACUAACCCAAUACGCCAAAGCAUCUUGACCGUUGAUUACAUGAAUAACUCCAAAGCAAUUAAUCAUAGCCCAUGACAUAGGAGCAUAAUGCAAAGCAGUCGUAUUGAACUUAACCUUCAGCAAUAUAGAACUCAAUUUCUUAUAAAAAUUGUGAUCAUCUCGACUAUAGAAUCCAUCAUUUAUCCCACAAUUAUCACCAAGAAAAAAAGCAUCUAGUUCCUUGGCUUUGUGACAACCACUAAUGAGCAAGAUGUGGCCCCCAUAGCAAAGUCCAAAUUCAAUGGUAUUGCCACCAACCAAAUUCAAUGGAACUGCCACCAAUAUACAUGACUAUUAAGUCCAUGCCUACAUUCUUGAUUACAUGAGCAGCCCCAUUUGUUGAAGCAUGAGUUUGGCCAAUGUCAAACACCAUUUGAUCACUUGUAUUCACACCAACAAUGUGUUCUUGCUCCACACCAAUAGCAACAAGUUCAUGUAUUGUGAAUUCUUGGUCAAUAGUGUGUUCUUGCUCCACACCAACAGCAAUAGGUUCAUGUAUUGUGGAUUCUUGGUCAGUCGAAUCAAGAGAUUGUAGCUCCUCUUCUGUCAUAUUCUCAAAAACCUCUUGCAAUCUUGAGAGCUCUUCAUUCAUGGCCUUGUUAGAUUCAGCCAAGGCCUUGACUUUCUUUGAAACAGCCUUGUGAGAUUCUGUCAAGCCCUUAACCUUCUCUGAAACUUCAUUCACCAUUUUCAAGAUUUCUUGCCAAUCAUAUUCACCCUUCUCAAGAUUGACAGCCUUGAUACCAAAUGUUAGGAAUCUGGUGGUUCCUAAUGGGGAUGGAUAGGAAUUAUAAGGAAAUUGAUGGGAAUUGUAGGGAAAUUGACUUAAUUCGACGUAGUCACCCUCCAUAGAGAAAGAGAGAGAUUAAGAGAGAGAGAUGCACUAAUGUACUAAGAAGUUGGUUUAUUCUUCAAUUGAUAUCUAAUGUUGAAUUACAAUCAAAUAUAGGAAAUUAGCUCUAAUGUCAUUGGCUCACAUGACUCAAGAUAACUGGCUAGUAAAUUCAACAUGUGUUUUAUGAAUUAAGCCAUGUGUUAAAUGAGCUACAUGUGCUCAAAUCUUAACUCAUCUUUAUCUCAACUAACUAGCUAACUACCUAACUAUGGGGAUUACAACAAUUAUUUCAUAUUCUUAACAUUUAGGAUCUCUUGGCUGGACCAUCACAGGAAUAUGGCCUUGCCUAUCUCGAUUCCUAUUUUGCUGCCUUUGUCUUUGAAUUGGGACAAAUGGCUCCUCAUUCUCCCCAUCCUCUGAAGCAUCAUUCUCAGCAACGUUAUGACCAGCUUGCUGCUGUGGAAACACCCUAUCUCUUCCCAAAUGCUCAAUCAAGGCAUUUAAUUGCCUCCUCAACAAUGCUACCUCAGCUGCAAAAUCAAGUUGACCCCCUUGAUCUCCUUUUCAUUGGCUGCAGUGUCUUCCCCAUCUACUGCAGAAACAGUAGACUCCUUUCCCUUAACCUUUCUUCCCUUCUCACUUACCAUGACUUAUUGCUGUUGCAAACUAAUGCAAUUGAAGGCUGUGGUUAACUAAAGGAAGGUGUUUAGGAUCAGAAUUAAAAAUCAAGAUUGAAUCUUGAUGGGUUCAUGGAUCUGGGAUGAAGAAAAAAAAUGCAAAGGAACUUGAAUCCUAAGGAUCUCAAGCUCUGAUACCAAACUGAUGUAGGGAAUGUGUGUAGGCUAAAACUGUUUUGGGUUUGUUAAGCAAUGAAAGUUGCUUAGAACAUUUAGUAGGUGGUUAGGCACCUCUGCAAGAACACUAAGUUCCAAUGAAAUGAAAAGCACACAAAGGCGUAAAAUUACUAAUUCUCAAAAAUUGAUUACAAAAAUGAAAGUACAAGAGUACUUGAUGCAAAUCAUGUUAUGAAGAGCAAAGAGUUUUUUAUUGUUUUCCUUUUCCUAUUUGAAUUAGGAUUUAUUUACUCUAUCAUGUUGAAUUAAAAUCCUUUUUCCUAGUUGAAUUGGGAUUUUAAUUGUUUUUCUUUUCCUAGUUAAAUUGUUUUUCCUUUAUCAAGUAGAAAUAGGUUUAUUAAUUCUUUUCCUAAAAGGAGUAGGAUAACUUCUAUUCCUAUAUAUACACUUUAUAGGGUGGUGGUUUAUUGUUAUGCGUUUAUUAAUAAAAAGUUUGCUAGAGAUGUUUUCUCUAUUAUAUUGCCUACUAGCCUAGUGUUCUUGUAGAAUUUAGGUUUUGUGGAAGAGUUAUAGCAAUUGUGUUAUAGAUUCUGCUUCUACACGCGUGCUGCAUCAGUACUUAUACAAUCUGUCUUACUAGCCUAGUGUUCUUGUAGAAUUUAGGUUUUGUGGAAGAGUUAUAGCAAUUGUGUUAUAGAUUCUGCUUCUACACGCGUGCUGCAUCAGUACUUAUACAAUCUGUCUUACAACUAAUAACCAUUAGUUUCUUGCCAAGUGUCAAACUAACACUGGUUACAUCUAAUACAAGUAACUAAUUCAUUAACAAGACUAACUAAUUCAGAUAAGAAAGACUGCCAUUUAAGCUAACUGCCUUAAGGCUCUUGUUUGGACACAAAGAUAGCUGUAACUAACUAUUCUCAACAGCUAAGGCUGCUAGCAUGACUCAAUCAAAACAUUUUAAAAUAGCUUAGAAAAUGCUCCUGCAUCACUCUGAACACUAGGUGCCGGGUUGCGUUAUCAAAUGAGAACAUCCAUUCCAAGGCCCUCGCUGGUUUGCCUCUCCUAUUGCUCAAUUUGUCCCUUGCUAACAGAUAUACAAAGGAAAGGAGCAGCAUUAUGGUCAUAGGUUAAUGUUCACACUGCACCGGUUGAGAUGCGUGAAAAUCUAGCCAUCCCAGAAGCACAGUGGCCUCAAGCAAUUAGUGAGCUCUGUGCUAUUAAACAUAUCGAACAAGUGCUGUUCUUAGUACAUGUAACCGAAUUCAUGGCUUUGUCUUGGUAUCAUGGGGCUAAAGAAGUUACUGAAUGGAUGUCAGGUAAUUUGUUGGCUUCAUUUUCGGUGUAGAAAGAAAGCAUAGCAAGGUAGAGCCCUGAGCUGGGUCAGCCAACUUAUGCUAUGUUUGGAAGUUUGGAGGGAGAGGAGAGUAGAGAGAAUGGUUAUCUUCUAUCUUGUUUGGAUGUUUUUAAAAUUAAGAUGGAAGGGAAUAAUUAGCCUUCAUUUUGUAAUUGCUAUAAAUUGUGAAGGGUACAAUAGGUAAUUCAAAAUGUUUAAUUAACUCUACAAUCACUCUCUACUCCUUCACCAAAUCUCUCUAAUUUGGGGAAUUAAAAAUAAGGGGUUAGAAGUUAAAAUUCCUCCAAAUCCCUCUCUCCUCCCCUAAAAACAUCCAAAUAGGAUAAAUUAAAUCAUUCUUCCUCAUUUCCCUUUAUUCCCCCUCAAUCCAAACAGAGCAUUACUCUAAUUUUAGAUGCACAUCUGUUAAGUGUCUGUUUAGGAAUAACUUAUCUAGUUUUUUGUUGAAAGUGUGCUAAAGUAUAUUAGUACUUUGAAAAAAAAUUUGAAAAAGGGAAAAAAAAAGCUUAAAAAGCUGAAAAAAUCAAAAUCUAAAAGUUAAAAGUUUAAGCAAGUGUGAAGGCUUAAACGUGAAAGAUGCUCCAAGUGGACAUGAAUUUGUACGGUGGGUUUAUUAUCAUUGUAAUAUUUUUUUUGUCUCUGUGGCAGACUUGGAGUAGUUGGUCCUUUGCACUUCACUCCCCGCUUUGCCGGCCUGAUUUGCCUUGUUGGGCUGAGUGCUGUGUUUUGGGCCAUACUGUACAUGUUUUAUUAGUAUUCAAAUCUGGGCCUUUGGACCUGGGCCUCUUAAGGCCCUUAGAAAAAUGGGUCCCGAACAAAAUGUUUUUCCCCGUGUCUGUUAAUACCUAAUGUUUACUGAACUUUUAUUUUCUUUAUUCUUUACCAUUAUUUUAUACUUUUAUCAUUACGGGAGUAAAAAGCUAGAGCAUUAUCAAUUAAAGAGAUGGGAGUUUUCCACCGAAAUUUAAGGGAUUUAAAAAGUAGGCGCAUUGAUGUCAUCCUUCGUGUACGUCACCAUCGUGACGGGGUCAAGUGUCCAGCUUUGCCCGGAGGACUUCAUGGUCAUUUUGUUAUUGAUGUAAAUGCUAAUUAAUUGAAAUAACUGUCCAACUGUGCUUAUAAAAGGAGUGGUUAGAAUUCCCCAAUUGUAUCUUGAAUUCUCGAUUGAGUUUGUUUGAGAGAUGUCGGCAUAUGAGUUAUGGCAAAGAAUUUCAAUUGCUUUGAUAGCAGCCGUGGGAUGGUUUAGGGGAGAAACGUUACGUCAGCAGCCUUCAUCAUCCAACAGCUAUUCCCCGAAAAUUUCCAACUCCACAAAUCCGCAAUGUAAUGUUAUGCAGACGGCUUCUACUAAUAAUUGUACUAUUAAGCAAAACAAUGCAUCAAGACCAGUCACAGGAUCGAACGUAGCCCAACAUCCAGCAAGACAAGGCUAUUCCGAAUUUAGUCCAGUGACUGAGCAUGGGCCGGAUUGGGUGGGGUUGAAUUCAAGGUCACCAGGAACCCAAAUCCAACCCGUUAAGAACAAGAUUAGUGGUUGAGGAAACCGAACCAGCCUGCAAGGUUUAUGAGAUCAUCGGCCUCUGAUUGGGUUUUUACUUACUUUUUAUAUAUAUAUAUAUAUAUAUAUAUAUAUAAAUAUUGUGGGGAGUUAUUUUCUAUAAUAUUGGCAACCAAAUUUCAGCUCAUACCUUGGCACACUACGCCAAAGGAAUUGAUAACUUUGUAAUUUGGAUAGAAGAAACUCCAUCUUUUAUUAAGUCUUUAGUGAUUCAGGAUGCUUUGUAUGUUUUCUCAUAUUAAUAGAGAUAAAAGUCUUUAGUGAUUCA